rnacentral:lncRNA from 1 species
AUGAGAGGAGGGGGAGGGGGCGAGACAGCUCCCAAAAUGGCUCCUGCCCCUCCUCGGAGGCGUCCGGCUACGGGGGGGAGGGGAGGGAGGAGGGCUGCAGAGCAGCGCCGCCGCCUCCUCGGCUCGCCCUCCUCCCUGGCGCUGACCGAUGGAAGAGGCGCUCCGUGGGGAGGACUCCCGGCCCGAUGGGGGCGGGGGGCUUCAGUUCGCCCACGCUGGGACGAGAUGGGGCCAAGGAGCCGCGCCCGCUCUCCCCACCCUGACGCCGGAAUAAGUUUGCAGAGAUUCUCCACUGCGGCGGCAUCGCAACCAAGAGCUUUUUGCCGGCCCCGCCCGCGCAGCCCAUCCCACUCUGCACCCCGCCCGCGCCGCCAAUGGAGAAGCUGAGAAUGGCGCGGCCAGCCCGCCGCGGGCGAUCGGCG